CUGCUUCAUAUGCGCAAAGAGGCAAGUCGUACAGCGCGCGCGCACAUUUAGUUCGACGCGUUUGCGUUAAACUUUGUCUAGACUUCUCAUCGAUUGGUUUUUAGGAAACCAAGUAUUAAAAAAAAUCAUUUUCAGAUUUAGCAUAGAGUAGUAAUGUAUUAGGAAACAAGAUCGUCGCGUAUUAUUUAUUGUCCAUGUUCUUUUUUCAAUCUAAUAUAAGUACAAUCGUUGAUUCUCACUUUUGCACACGCAAAUCAAUCCACCCGCAAAAUCAUCGAACAACGGCAGCCAUCUUUACUGGCUCCGAAACGGGCUGUGGUUUGUGACAGAGAGACGGUAGUGGUUCUUCAUGUGGUUCACGCGACCAUCUCAUCGCCUAUGCACCCUACGAGAGAUUGGAAAUCAUUUUUAAGUGUGGCUAAUUAGAAGAACUAAGGAACUCGUCUCACGAAUUCGAGCUACCAAAAUAUGGCAAUGGAGACGCCAAGAGAGCGUGAGAUUGCCGCGGAGGACAGUAUUAAGGUAGUCUGUAGAUUUCGACCUUUGAACGACUCCGAAGAAAAAGCUGGUUCGAAAUUUAUCGUAAAAUUCCCCUCUGGUGGUGAGGAUAAUUGCAUCUCUAUCGGGGGAAAAGUAUAUCUUUUUGACAAAGUUUUUAAACCAAAUGCUACUCAAGACAAAGUUUACAAUGAAGCGGCUAGAUCAAUUGUCACAGAUGUGUUGGCAGGGUAUAACGGCACUAUUUUUGCAUAUGGUCAAACAUCUUCAGGAAAAACACAUACCAUGGAAGGUGUUAUUGGAGAUCCAAAUAAACAAGGUAUUAUUCCCAGAAUUGUUAAUGAUAUUUUCAAUCAUAUUUAUGGUAUGGAAGAAAAUUUGGAAUUUCAUAUCAAGGUAUCAUACUUUGAAAUCUAUAUGGACAAAAUUAGAGAUCUUCUUGAUGUUUCUAAAGUGAAUUUAAGUGUGCAUGAAGAUAAGAAUCGAGUUCCAUUUGUAAAAGGUGCAACAGAACGCUUUGUAUCUAGUCCUGAAGAAGUAUUUGAAGUUAUAGAAGAGGGAAAAUCAAAUAGGCACAUUGCAGUAACUAAUAUGAACGAACACAGUUCACGUUCUCAUUCUGUAUUUUUAAUAAAUGUGAAACAAGAAAAUUUAGAAAACCAAAAGAAGCUUUCUGGAAAAUUAUAUCUUGUUGAUUUGGCUGGUUCAGAGAAGGUUUCUAAAACUGGAGCAGAAGGAACUGUACUAGAUGAAGCAAAAAAUAUCAAUAAAUCUCUAUCAGCACUUGGCAAUGUAAUAUCAGCUUUAGCUGAUGGAAAUAAAACUCACAUUCCUUAUCGUGAUUCAAAAUUGACUAGAAUUUUACAAGAAUCUCUUGGUGGCAAUGCCAGAACUACAAUUAUUAUUUGUUGUUCACCAGCUAGUUUCAAUGAAUCAGAAACAAAAUCGACAUUAGAUUUUGGUAAACGUGCUAAAACUAUUAAGAAUGUUGUAUGUGUUAAUGAGGAAUUGACAGCUGAAGAAUGGAAACGUCGCUACGAAAGAGAAAAGGAAAAAGCAGCUAGAUUGAAAGGAAAAGUUGAAAAAUUAGAAGCUGAAUUAUCACGUUGGCGACAGGGUGAAACUGUUAAACCUGAAGAACAAGUUAAUUUGGUUGAAGGACCAGAUGUUACAACACCAAUUAAUAUGUCUAUUGAAGGUAAACUGGAUGAUGGUCCGAUGCCAGCCACUCCUGGUGGCAACUUAAUGGCUGGAUCUUUAUCUAAUGAAGAAAGACAAAAAUUAGAAGAAGAACGUGAAAGACUUUAUCAACAGUUGGAUGAUAAAGAUGAAGAAAUCAAUCAACAAUCACAAUAUGUUGAGAACUUAAAAGAACAAAUUCAUGAACAAGCAGAAUUAAUUGCUACUGCAAGACGUGAAUAUGAAAAACUUCAACAGGAAGUAAAUCGAACACAGCAAGAACACGAACGGGCUAAAGAAGAAGUUAAAGAAGUUUUACAAGCAUUGGAAGAAUUAGCAGUUAAUUAUGAUCAGAAAUGCCAAGAGUGUGAUAUUAAAAAGAAAGAAACUGAAACUUUAACAGAAGAAUUAUUAGCAAAACAAACAACAUUAAACAGUACGGCUUCAGAAUUACAACAACUACGGGAUAUGUCGGCUCAUCAAAGGAAACGUAUUGCAGAAAUGCUAGCAAACUUCUUAAAAGAUUUAGGUGAAAUUGGGGUUGCAAUUGGUGGUGAUGAAAAUCUAAAAGUUGCACCUACAGAAAGUAAUGGUAAACUUGAAGAAGAAUUUACUGUGGCAAGACUGUUUAUUAGUAAAAUGAAAUCAGAGGUGAAGAAUUUAGUACAACGAUGUCAAGGAUUAGAAAGUUUCCAAGUAGACUGUAACAAGAAAGUUGCUGAAUAUGAAAAAGAUUUGGCUGAAUGUCGUUUAUUAAUUUCUCAACACGAAGCUCGCAUGCAAACAUUAACGGAAUCAAUGAAAGUAGCAGAAGCACGUAAACGUGCUUUAGAAGAAGAUGUUGAUGCUUUACGCGAAGAAUGUGCCAAGUUAAAGGCUGCAGAACAGGUACAAGCAGUUACAAAUAAAGAAAAAGCAGAAGAAAAAGAAGCAGCGACAAAGAUGAGAGUAGCACUAGAAGAACAAAUGGAUCAAUUGCGAGAUGCUCAUCAAAAACAAGUCGCAGCACUUCGAGAUGAAUUAUCUGAAAAACAAGAAUUGAUUAGUGAACUUAAAGAUUUGAAUCAAAAAUUCACAUUGGCUCAUCAACAAAUGCAAGCGGAUUAUGAACGAUUAAAACAAGAAGAAGCAAAUAAAUCUGUUAAAUUGCAAGAAUUAAUUUUGCUUAAUGAACGUCGUGAACAAGCUCGAAAAGAUCUUAAAGGUCUAGAGGAAACAGUAGCCAAAGAACUUCAAACAUUGCAUAAUCUACGCAAGUUAUUUGUUCAAGAUCUUCAAACUAGAAUAAAGAAGACUAUGAUUGCAGAAGAUAACGAAGAUGAUGGUGGAUCAUUAACACAGAAACAAAAGAUUUCCUUCCUCGAGAAUAAUUUAGACCAACUUACAAAGGUUCAUAAACAACUUGUAAGAGAUAAUGCUGAUCUUCGAUGUGAAUUACCUAAACUUGAAAAAAGAUUACGGGCUACUAUGGAACGUGUCAAAGCUCUAGAAACAGCAUUGCGAGAUGCCAAAGAAGGUGCAAUGCGAGAUCGUAAACGUUAUCAAUACGAGGUAGAUAGAAUCAAGGAAGCAGUUAGACAAAAGAAUUUAGCUCGUCGUGGACCGAGUGCACAAAUUGCUAAACCAAUUAGAGCUGGUCAACAUCAUUUAACUAAUGUUAAUGCUAUUAGAACGGGAAAUCGUGGUUUGUCCGAUUUUAUAUAAAGGAAUCGAUAAAAAUGUUAUACAGUUUGGAAUAAAUAUAUUCAAUAUAUUUGAUGUUAAACUAUUUAGUUUAACAAAUGAUAUUUUCAUAUAAAAAUAUUUAAAAGACGAACAAACCUUGCGAAAAUUUUAAUUUUCAAUUUUUUUAAAUAAAUGGUUAUGGAUAUGGGUAAUAACAACGUACAGUGAUCGUGAGCAUAAUGCCAAACCCUUCACUUUUACAGAAAACGAAUGCAAGAACGCUUUCAUCAAUGAAAGCAAUAGAGUUCCAGAGACUCUAAUUUGUAGUGGAUACCCAUAAAUGUUACAACUAUAUAGUAAGGGUAAUAGACGUAAUAUAUCCGCAAGGAGCACCGCCAGUUCUUUUUAUUUGUCUCAAAACAAGCAUGUGCUUAGGUAUAUUCAAAUAAGUGCAUUAAGUUAUAAAAUUAGUGCUGCAUGUCCUAUCGAUUUGUAAAUAGUUAAUUUUUAUAAAUUAUUUAACUUAAUAUCAUGCACGAUGAAUAAAAGUGAAUGUCUAUCAAAUAAUCAUGCAAAGGCCUCUUAUGAAAAAUAUUUCAAUAUUUAUUUCUUAUAAAAUUUUGUAUACUGUAUCUUUAAAAAGAUAAAUGAAUUCUAUUAUAAUGGAAUAGAAAAUAAAUUUCUAAAAAUGAUUAAUAUAAUUUAAUCAAUUUGUCUAUAAUAGUUUUAAUUGAUCUGCUAUCAACAUUAAUAUUUCCCAUCAAAUGAGGCAGUACUAUCUAACAUUUGGUAGGUAUCGCUGACAUGAAAUGCGAUUGGACAUGCGGCUUUGAAAAAAUUGUAGGAAUGAUCGUGGCUUAUAAGUAUUUAUAAUUGUAAGAAUUCUCUCCAUUGCUAUUAACAUAUACACGAUAAAAAAUUUUUUCGGACCUUCUAGAGAGCUCACUUAACGAAAGUGUUAAGUUUGUUGGCUACUCUAAAUAUUAUUAUGGUCCAAGAACCAAUGGCUUUAUGAACAUUUUCAACAGAAAAAUUUCAUCUUUAUCUUUGUUCAUGUUUAUUUUAUUAAUUAUAAUACAUUUCUCAUUACAUCGAUCUUUAUAUAUUCAUCUAAUUUAAAUUAAUUUAUUAUUGCUUAUUCUUGUUUAUAUCAGAGGCUUUUAUACUACAUUUAAAUUUUUAUAGGCCAAUAAAAUUUGGUCUAUAAAGAAGUCUUUUGUCUUAGAUAAACGUAUUAGUUUAUGUUUCUUCAUGUUGAGCUUAUGCUCGGAAGUUACCUAGAUGUAUUGUACGUCUAAUUGUGAGCUAUUGCACAGGUCUGCUUAAGUUCCUAAAACCUGUUGCAGGCCGCCGAAAAUUCGCUCACACAUUCUUUUUCUUUUUUUUUUCAGUGUAAUCGUUGAAUGUAACGUACACAUGCAUUUUUUAGAAAACUAUUCUUUAACUAUAUUUGUCAGUAAUUAAUGCUUUUCAAUUUUUGUGUACUUUUUAUGUACUUUUUUGUAAUUGUUUUAUUUAUGAUUUUCUUAAAAAUGUACGAGCCACACGUACUUGAUAUAUUGUCCGGAGCAGGAGAAUUCUAAACAAUAUUAAUUUAAGAUAGGUUUCUAUAAACUGUGCGCAACAAAAUAUUUGUUUGUGAUACGUCGAAAUUUUGUUACGCGCAGAUUCUUUAUGUGUAGACAAAAAAAAUUAACAUUUUCUUUAUGAAUCAUUGUCUCUCGUUGUUGUUGACAAUAACGAAAGAAAUCAUGUUUCCAUGUGAAAUCAUUUUUUGUCAUCUUCCGUUUUUUAACUUUUGUGAUAUCGAGAGUGAAAUUGUGUUUGCAUAUUAUGCAAAGACAAGUGCGUGGUGCAUAAUGAGUGCAAUUAUUAUUGUCAAAUGUAUGUAAAUAUAAUCGUAUUCCAUUACAUUUAUUUGGCAAAUUAAAACGAUCUUUGCAAGUUGCCCUACUCAUAAAAGGCUACAAAUAUAUGUAUUUAUUGAAAAAUACACGUAACAUUACUGUUUCAAAGCCUUAACAAUUGUCGAAAUAUUGUCAUACAAUAAUGUAUUUUUCAUUCUACUAUUCAACUAAGAUAUUAAUGUAUCUGCUGAAUUUUGGAUCAUGAUUCAAUUCUCUUCUUAAGCUACUGAAUCGUGAAAUAAAAUUUCAGCCUAGGCAACUCUUUAAUUGUGAAUUUCGAGUAUCGACCACUUUUUCUUACUAAAUAACAUUUAUUUUUAUAGACUAUUGUAAAGGCAUUAUUGAUUUUUCAACAUGGAGAAAAAAAUUCGAAAGUACUUAUUGAACAAAUUUUUGUUACGAUCAAAAUAUAAUUAAAAAAUGAUC